ACCACAUUCUAGAACACUCUGUGUUACGGACAUCGAAACUGAAUAUUUAUGUAUCGUUACUUUCGUUCUUGUUUUAAGAAAAGUGUGCACAUAGAUACAAAAGUUAUCUUAUUUCUAUUGCACUACAUUUAACGUAACUACUGCAAUAUAACAAGCCGUAUAGAUGUACGUGUUAGGCAGCGCAGCGUCCUUGCAAGUAGAUAAGGGGGCCCCGCGCAGUUAAACACAGAAUGGCCGCCAUUUGUGCAGUACGAGCAUUUGAAUGUGUUUCUCCCAAGUGCCUGGAGAGCUUGGAGCGCUAGAGUGUUCCUAGGUGCGUGACUUUGGAAGUGUGCGUUCGUAAUUUUUCAGCAAAAGAAGACAUCCGGAGACGAUUCAAGUGAUUCGGCUCGGCGAGCAAGUCGUAAGCAUCGGUGGUGUAGCUGAGUGGGCGCUCGCUAAUCAAAAGAACAGCCGAUUGCGUCUGAGGGAGCGAUAUUUACUCACAACUUCGUGCACAAGGCAUGCAUGCUCGACCGUAGGCUGCGGCUCUUCAGAGCUCAGACCACCAUGGUGGCGCGGCCACCCUUGAGGCCUGGGCAAGCCCGCUGGAGCGUGGCGGCAGCAGCAGCGGGCUGCUGGCUGCGGUGGCGGCGGCCGAGGAGCUGGGCAGCAUGAGCCUGGCCCUGACGCAGCAGCCCCGGUGCCUGGGGGGGCCCGACUUCCUGCUCGACACGGUGGCGAGCGUGGUGGACGGUGUUCCAGCGGCCAUGGGUGCGGAGGAGGAGGCCUCGUCAGUGGAGCCAGUGGCCUCGCCCCCUCCACCUGCUGCCAAAAGCCGCACUUCACACCACAACUGCUUUGGCCUGCCCUACCAGGAUCACAACUAUGGUGCUCCACCGCCUGUGACGCCCCCCCAGAGCCCACCACCAUCACCACUGUCGCCACCCAGCGAAGGACAGCCAGCCCUCAAUGGCACGCCUCCCCUGGGACUUCUGCUUGAGGUGGGCAGUCCUCCCCCGCUGACCAAUGGCGGCUCGCCUGCUGACAGGAAAGAGGAGUGCGCCCCCAAUGAGGAAAGUGUGACGCGCUGCAUCUGUGGCUUCAACCAGGACGACGAGUACAUGAUCUGCUGCGACCAGUGCCUGGUUUGGCAGCAUGUGGACUGCAUGGGCCUGGACCGCAGCUGCAUACCUGAGACAUACCUGUGUGAGCGCUGCUGCCCAAGACGUGUGGAUCGGCAGCGGGCGCGCUCUCUCCAGACACGCAAGAAGCACCAGAUGGCCCGGCUGCUGAGCCGACUUGAGUCAGCUCCCGAAGAGGACCCCAAGGGGGCCGAGCCUGCCACCAAAUCGCGAGUGGUGCGACGCAAGCGGCAGCGCUCAGAGUCAUCGCCUGACCCUCCAGUGGUGCACAAGAAGGCCAUGAAAGAGAAGAUUGAACGCAAAAGGGUCAAGUUAAAAGGCAUGGUGAAGCGAGCUGCCAGCCGGCGUUUGGCACCCUCAGCCGAGGAGGAGGAGGCAGCAGUGGGAGACCCAUGGCGGGGGGGAAGUGGAGGUACCGAGGGACCCCCCAGCUACGAGCAGGCUCCCGCCAACCAGUACAGUCCCGAGGUGCAGCUGCUUGCAUCCAGCCUGUUCCAGGCCAAAGGUAGGCAGGAGCAGCAGCUGGCCGAAGAGGAGCUGUUGCGGGGUGGCUGGGAGGGUGCCUGGCAACUGGACGAGUGUGCCCCCCCUCGGGGCCGCCAGGAGGGCCGCCACCGCCUGGUGACUACCCGUACAGUACCUGCCCAGCAGCCACUGCUUGAGGUGCGCGGGAAGUUUUUGUCGGCCAGCCAGUUCCGCCUGCAGAACCCUGUGUUCCAGAAGAGGCUGUACCCAUGUGUGCUCUUCUACAAGGGCUGGGCGGAUAACGAAGAUGGGGUUUGUGUGGACGCCCGAGUGUAUGGGAACGAGGCACGGUUUGUUCGCCGCUCGUGCCGUCCCAGCGCGCGGGUGCGGCACACCUUCCAAGAGGGCCUGCUGCGGCUCUACCUGGUGGCUGACCGAGACCUGGCACCUGCCGAGGAAAUCACCAUCCCCUUCGACUUUGACUACCGACACUGCAUCCACCGUGUGACCUGUGCCUGUGGUCAGGAUGACUGCCUACUCCACCGGAGAAAGACCAGCACAGCUGCAUCACCUAUGGAGCGCAAGCAACGUGGCCGUCGCCGCAGCAGCAGCAGCCAGGUGGAGGCGGAAGUGAAAGAGGAGGGCGAUGCCCCCCAGGAAGAGGACGGGACCAGCAGCGGGCCCUCUCUGGAUUACAGGCCACCACCUGUCACAGAUGCCUCAUCCAACGAGCACCAGGAAGGAAGCCCACCGCUGGCGUCUCCCGACUCCGGUGGUCAAGAACCUGGGACAGGAGACGAUGGGGACCUGCCCGACUCUGGUCACAGCAGCCGCAGGCGAAAGAUGACCCGGGAGGAGCGCAAGAUCGAUGCCAUCAUGCGUGCCUUUGAAAAAAUGGAGCGCACCGAGAAGCGGCGCCAACAGGCCCUGGAGCGGCUGCAGCAUCGAGGAGGGAGGGCUUCGAUGGAUGAGGGCAGGGGGGACGAGCGCUCCAACGAGGACCACCCAGCGGCCGGCGACGCCGCCCUGCCCCCCGAGGAAGCGGAACGCUUGCGCUCACUUCGAGGGCCCACUCGCAAGGGCAAGCGACGAAGGAGCACGCUGUCUCGGCGCCGCACACGCAGCAACAGUGGUGGGCCCGAGCUGCUGCUGGCGGCUGCGGCCACGGUCAGUGCCCUGGAGUGCCCCGAGGGGGUGUCCUUCCCGCCCCCGGCCUCCUCCUCGCCCGAGGAGGAGGAGGAGGAGGAGCCACCGCCGCCACCACCACCAGAGCUGUCGCCCCCGCCGGGAUCUCCUCCUCCGUGCCAGCCACCCCUGCCCAAGUCCAAGAGGUUCCUGAUGCAGGGCUGGCUGCACGAGAAGCAGCAUGAGGGAGCCGGCCCCUCGUCUGGCGAGGGCCCCCCUGUGUACGUGCGCUGCACCCGAGACACGGCCAGUGGUGGCAUUUCGGCUGCCCACCUUCGCCGGCACAGUGGCUCGGCUGGCACUAACUGCAAUGCUGCCGGCUCGGCAAAGAAGCGCUGGUUGCGGCAGGCCAUGUUUGAGUCGAGCGAAGACGUCCCAGACGAGGGGCUCCUCUUGGAAGGGGCCGAGCUGCCAGUGAGCCCACUGCUCGAGGACAGCAUCUCACCGCCACCCGCCGACCUGGUGACACCCCUGAAGAAGCGGCGGCUGAUGCGUGGCUCCCUGGAUUCGGUGGGCGGGCUGUCUCCAGCCACGGGGGAGGCGGCUGCCACCCUGCUUUCUUUUCAGACGCCGCUGCUGCUGCACCGCUAUCCAGACGAGGAGCACCAGCCGCAGUCGCAGCAUGGUCAGGGGGAGCCCAGCAGUGCAGGCAGCCCCCCACUGGACGACCCCCCAACCCCCUUGGACGACGAAGGGUCGGUGGACUGGGAGGAAGGGCCGUCCCCUCCAGCAGCUCUGGGACCGCGGCUGCUGCCCCCCUUGACCAGCGGCCAGCCGUCACCCCUGGAGCUGGCAGGCCGCACCCUGGAGGGCGGUCGACGACCCACGUCCGCACCUCGCCUGCCUGAGCCUCUGCCAGGUCCACACGAUGAGGAUGAGGGUACACCAAAACCGGCAGAGACCGAGGUGAGACCACCGCCAUCAUGCUGGGGACCCGAGGCCUCGGACUCCUCGUCCUCUUCCCCAAGGGGAGGCAAGCGCAAGGUGAGCCUGUCCGAGUACCGGCAGCGGAUGCGAGACACUGCCCGGGCCCCCGCUGCCGUAGUAGCAGUGCCCCCUGCCCGAAUGGUGGCCAACGAGAGCCCGGACAACAAGCAGCACGGUUCGCUCGGCCGGCCACAAGACGUCCCCUGCGGUGCGUCCGAUGCCAGAGCCCUGGACGACGACGAGGCCUGGCCCCAGCGGGAGCGGCUGAGCCAGCGGCUGCGCCGGGAGUUUGGGCUGCUCGACGACGAUUCCGACACGGAGAGGGGCACCACCCCGUCAGGUCCCGAAGAUGCCCUGCUGCCCCUUGGCCCUCCCCACAUGUAUGGAGGAUACCUGCCACCACCCUUGCAGGAUCUCCGUACACAUGGCACCUGGCUCAAGCGCAGGUAGCAUGCGAGAAUCAGAGGCACAACGACCAUCACGGCAUUACGAACGGAACGAUAUGCCCAUUGGCCCAAGUUAAUAGAAAAUUUGGGCCAUUGGAUCAGCAUAAGUUCUUUUCAUGGUUCCCUUUGGCGCAACCCCUCACUCUGCAGCAACAAGCCUGCCAUCAUCGCACCGGCCAGGUUACUUCCACCACAGCUAGACCACGGUCUGCAGAAGACUUGUACAUAUAAGAAGGCCCGGGACCGCUCUCAUUGUUUUUGCGCCUCUGAGUGGGAUGGCCCUCGAGUGCCAGUUGAUGACAGCAGGACUGGGCACGGCAUCAAGGUGGUGCUGUCAGACAUGCCAGACCAUUCCAAGGCACCCUUGUUGACACAUCCUCCCGUGUUUUCCACAGUGCUCUCAUGUGAGGUGCAGUCGCAUCCAUUGUGUACAUAGCUAUACAUAGCCUCCCAACGUGUCUCUUGUCAUGUCACAAUUUUCAGUGGGUUGACCAGUGAACGUUUUAUCUGGUUCCCUUGCCGGCCAUUUUUUGAGGCUUGCGUUGCUGCAGUGUGGCUGCAGCAUGCCUGUGUGUUGAGCAGGCUGCGUUUGUACAUAGUGUACAUAAGAAGGCCUAUUUAUCACCACUGAUUCCGACAUGUACAGGUGUUUUUAGUUACACUGAACGAGACCAGAGCAGGUGUAGAAAUUUGGAAUUCUGUGUUGUACAGUUUAUCUGACUGCUGCUGCAUGUGCCUGCCCAAGGUGACUUGUUGUGUGAGCUUUAUUAAAGUGCUGUUUUGAUGUGUUACUUGGUGGUGCAGAACACUGGUGGCUUGGCUCACAUGUGGGUUGCCCUUAGGACAAUGUGUGCAACCUCUACUCUUAAUAAUGUUGCCAUUUAUCAAACUGUGCUGCUCUGGUUUUGUCUACGGGCAGUGGUGUUGGCGAUGCCAGCUUUUAUCCUCUUUUUGAUGUUGCCAUGUGCUUUGUAAUCCUGUUGCGCUCAGGAUUUGAUUGAUGUGGUAGAGCCUGCCUCUCACCUCUUUUAAUUUUCCUGUGUGUCUGGCAAAAACAAAAUUGACAACAGCCUGCGUGAUAACUUAUUUUAUAUACCCUGGGCUCAACAUGUGUGUCCUUAUGCGAGCAGUGCGGGGAGCCACAUGCCGGCUGCGAAGCACCUGCCAACGCUGUAAAUAAUAAACAAGGCUGCCUUCUUGA